UAUUUUUGUUUAUUUUGAUAAAAAUGUCAAAGAUUAAAUGUUAAAAAAAAUUCAAUUCCAGAAGUUGUUAAAAUAGGACAAUGGAUAUACUUAUACAAAAAUGUCGAAUUAAAUCAACUUAUUUAGUCAAAUUUCAGGAUAAUAUUGUAAAUAAAAAGAAAAUUGGAAAAGAGGGCAGCUGGGCAGUAUUCCGAGAGGCGAUUCAGUGUUGAGGAGUGCGGUUCUUACCACGACUCGUUUUUACCGGUCGACAUUUUUAAACCCCUGCACGUUUACAUAACAUUUCCAUGGCAAUGCAAGUUCAAAUUAAAUUGCAAGUCCUGAAAUUUUCACGCAAAAUUCUUAAAUGUAGUAAAAAUUCUUAAAGACACAACACGUAACACAAGCAGACCGGGAAACAGUCAUGGCCGAGAGUGACAAAUUGAAUAUCGACACGGUGAUAACUCGUCUCCUGGAGGUGAGGGGCGCCCGCCCGGGCAAAACCGUCCAGCUAAUGGAAAGCGAAAUCCGUGGGCUUUGCCUGAAAUCCAGGGAAAUCUUCUUGUCACAGCCGAUACUCUUGGAAUUGGAGGCUCCAUUGAAGAUCUGCGGCGACACGCACGGUCAGUACUACGACCUUUUGCGUUUAUUCGAGUACGGCGGUUUCCCACCGGAAGCGAAUUACCUGUUUUUGGGAGACUACGUCGACAGAGGGAAGCAAUCCCUGGAGACCAUCUGCCUUUUGUUGGCUUACAAGAUCAAGUACCCGGAGAACUUCUUUCUCUUGCGAGGAAACCACGAGUGCGCUAGCAUCAACCGUAUCUACGGGUUUUACGACGAGUGUAAGAGACGGUACAACAUCAAACUGUGGAAAACGUUCACGGAUUGUUUCAACUGCCUGCCCGUCGCGGCUAUAGUGGACGAGAAGAUAUUUUGUUGUCACGGAGGGCUCAGCCCGGACUUGCAAAGUAUGGAACAGAUACGUAGAAUUAUGAGACCGACGGAUGUUCCUGACCAGGGUUUGCUUUGUGAUUUGUUGUGGUCGGACCCCGAUAAAGACACAAUGGGUUGGGGCGAGAAUGACAGAGGGGUCUCUUUCACGUUUGGUGCAGAAGUUAUCGCCAAAUUUCUUCAUAAACACGACCUCGAUCUGAUCUGCAGGGCACAUCAAGUCGUAGAGGACGGAUACGAAUUUUUCGCGAAGAGACAGCUGGUCACCGUGUUCUCGGCACCGAAUUACUGCGGAGAGUUUGACAACGCAGGCGCCAUGAUGUCGGUAGACGAAACAUUGAUGUGUUCAUUUCAAAUAUUGAAACCAGCGGACAAGAGGAAAUACACUAUCGGAGCGGCGCAUUAAUAAGGAAGUACCAAAUACUAAUUGAAAAUUAUAAUUAUCAACUGAUUCAUUCACAUUUGGAAACCUCCUUUGUUAUAUUGACCGGUUGUUCAAUAAUUUGAUGAAGUUGUGAGGAGCGAUCAGGAAUGAAGUAUUUUAGAAAAACAACUUUUUCAUUCUUGUACUGACGUUUCGAACUAUUUUCGCGUCAUCAUGAUUCGUUACCGCGUCCCCGACCUUGUCAAAAUCAUAUAAACACAAAUUCACAUUUCACAACAAUUUCAUACGAAACAAAUAAGACACCAGGAGGAAAGCACCUCAUUUUAUGCCCUGAAGAUGACCCGAAUAAAGGUU
rnacentral:misc_RNA from 1 species